rnacentral:rRNA from 1 species
GACAGAGGGUGCAAACGUUGUUCGGAUUUACUGGGCGUAAAGCGCGUGUAGGCGGCUUGGCAAGUCGGAUGUGAAAGCCCACGGCUCAACUGGGGGGUGUCGUGCGAUACGGGCGAACUGGAGGCCAGUAGGGGGAUGCGGAAUUCCGGGUGUAGUGGUGGAAUGCGUAGAGAUCCGGAGGAACACCAGCGGCGAAGGCGGCAUCCUGGACUGGUCCUGACACUCAGGAGCGAAAGCGUGGGGAGCGAUCCGG